rnacentral:lncRNA from 1 species
UUUAUAUGCAUAAGUUCGGCCUGACUAGCAUUAGAUUGUGUUUGGUUGUUUGCAUGAGAAAUAUGGUUUGGAAUAUAUUUUAUUUGGUUGGUUGCAUAGAGAUUACCCUCUAGAUUUCAUAUAUUAAUUAAAAAAAUGGAACAAAUUUAAGUGCCAAACAAUAAAGAAAAUAAAGAAAACAAAAAUAGUAGCACAUUGCAGAGAAAAAUCGUCAUCCUCAGCUUGCUUUCCCCUCUAGCUCACCGGCACGCCCGCCUCCCCUCCCUCCGCCGUCGCCGCUCGCUCCCCCCCUUUGCCGUCGCCUCACCGGCGUCCCCCCCCCCCCCCCCCCCCCCGCCACCCUCUCCCUCGCCCUCCGCCGCUGCUCGCUCCUCUCCCGCCCUCUGUCGUCGCCUCACCGUCACUGCCCGACUCCCCUCCCUCCGCCGCUGCCCUCUCCCCUGCUCUCCCCCGUCCUCCGCCGUCACCUCACCGGCGCGGCCCGACUCCCCUCCCUUCACCGCCGCCCGCUCCCCCGCCCUCCACUGCCGCUCGCUCCUCUCCCCUCCCUCGUCGCUCCCCACUACUGUUCGGCUUCUUCUUCCUCUCGAUAGAUCUGGCGUUGCUCAAGGAGCUGCCGGUGACGGCGUGCGGCCGUGCGGGAUUUGGCGGCCAGCGGAGAUGACGACAGUCGUGCGGGGACGGAGAAGCAAAUGGGGGCGAUGGAGGUGAGGGGACGCGCCACCCCCUCGUCCGCCUUGCACCAGCGCAUGCGCGAGCUGCACCCGCCCAUCCGCGCGCUGCACGCGCCCAGCCCGGACGGGGAGGGAAGCUCAACCCGAGCGUUUCUCCCCAGCCUGGCUGGGGGGAGGAUUUUGCAUGGUCAGAGCUAGGCCCUAGAAGGCAUGCAGGCUACCGAGCACUCGUCCAUUGCAUGUGUGGGUGUAAAUUUGGGUUGAUGCAGGUAACCAAACACACCUUUAGAUUUUAGUACUACAUUAGGCAGAAUUCACUGAAUUCUAGCUAACAUUUUUGGUUGCAUCUUUCAUAUUCUAAACAGGAAAGUUUAGAGGAACAAGACUCAUUCAAUCCUAAGAUGGUUUAAUGACUGGAUAGGGGGUGAUUGUUUGGGUCACGUGCAAAAAACAUAUUUACAAACUACAAAUAAUUUGAUUUUAUAUAGAUGUUCUUAGUAAUUUAAAUACAAAGAAUGAAAAAUAAACUACGAUAAAAAACCUUAAAAAUCAACUUCAAAUUUAAGGUUAAAAGUUCAAAAUUUCACCUAUAAGCAUAAGCGAAAAGACGAUGAUAUAAUAUUGGCAAUAGCAUCUGAGGGCAAAUACAUUUUAAUGUUUCUUUACAAAGUGGAAAAAUGCAUUUCUUCCAUAAACAUAUGGACAAGUGAAGCACAUAAAUGAUUGGUGUACUGCAGUGCAUUUUAUCUGCAUUUCUCAGUCAACUAUGCCCGCGUUCGUUUUGGGUGAGAGGGUAGGUUAGGUAUCCGUUGCGGAAAAAAUAGUAAUAGAUUAGUACAUGAUUAAUUAGUUAUUAAUUAUUAAAAAUAUAUAAUAGAUUAAUAUGAUUUUUAAAACAAUUUUUUUAUAAAUUUUUUUUUAAAAUACACCGUUUAGCAGUUUGGGAAGCGCGCAAACGGAAAACGAGCGUGCACACGGAAAACGAGUGAACUAAGAUAACUUAGCCCCAGGCCGAAUGUGGCCUAUGUUGUAUAAAUACCUAUGGAUGAUCAUCUGGCUUUUUCAUGAGGAAAAAACGAUAAAUGACAUAUUUAUAAAUAAAAAUAAUUUAUGAAUAAAACUUUUAUGCACAUGUUCUUAGCGAUCUAAAGCCAAGACUAAAAAAUAACCUACGAUGAAAACACCUUAAAAUAUUCCAAAUCUAAGGUAAAAAAUUUAAACUUUAGCUUAUAAGAAUAAGUAUAAGCGAAAAGAUAUGAACGUUAGAUGUCAUUGCUUUAAGAUAUUAGCACUUGUUUAUAUUGCCACGUCAGACGAUGAAAAUGAAAAUACAUUAAUUUCGAACCUUCAAUCAUCAGAACCAACUUGCUGAUAAAAAUUACAUCUUAAUCUUGACAAACCUUAUUAUCCUUCGACAGACAUCUUAUUAUGGACUCUGUUUAUAUUGAACCCUUCACCCAAAAACCCUGGAAAUGGAUAUCCUAAUGAACAACAGCAGGUAUUAUUUGCUUUCAUUGAAUGAGGCAUGCGUGGUUUAAACAAUAUGACAAAAUCAUAGUCCCGACCGUUUCUAAUUCCUUUUGUGGUAUAUUUUCUAGUAUGACUUAGAUUUAUAUAGAUACUGGUAAAUCUAGACAUAUAUAUAUAAAUUAUAUAUAUUUAUCAAUAAAUGAGUUUAGACGAAAAGUCUUAUGGUAUAAAACAGAGACAGUGCCAUAUUUGCAUUUCUAUUGUCUGGACACACUAGAGGUGAGACGAUGACUCAGAGAAGUAAGGGACGACAGAACAAACUUACCGCAUCAAAAUCAUUUCUACGUGAUAUUUGAUUGACUAUUUAGUUCUGUAAUUACACAAUGCAUGGUGUACGUAGUUAAUUUAUAUAUAACAGAUCUAAGGCUGCGUUCUUUUUAGAUAGAUUAUUCAUCGAUUUUUAUACGUGUGUUUCCUAAAUUGUUAAACGGUGUAUUUUUUAAAUAAAAUUAAAAUUCUAAAAAGUUCAUCAACUUAUUUUUAAGUAGAUUUUUGUUACAAAAUUAAUUAUUUUUUUAUAUUUCAUCAAUCAAAAUAACAUACCUAAAAUGACCUUGACAUACUGACUGACAGGACCAUGGAGUUGUUGGGGCUUGAGGUUCUCCUGUUCUUUUGUCUUCCUAAUUUUGACAAAUGAUAACUGCAUGGAGGGUUCGAGUCGUCCUCCGACCAAAGCAUACUGGAUUACAUGCAGAUUUUGCACUGGUUUGCUGUCCAUCUCCUGUAACGUGGCCAUCGUAGCCAUUGACGAUUUGAAACCGACACCAUGGAACAACUAUUAGACAUUCCAAUUCUUUAUUAUCUUCCCUGCAGAUUGGCUAUUGAAAUGAAUCAUUUCUCUCUGAUGAUCGCAUCAGAAGAGGUCAAUUUCUGCAAGGCGUCGUUCCAACCACUCAGAAAUAGUUCUUUCCAGUGAGAGUACAUAUUUCGGUCAAUGAUCCCUGGUCACCGAGCAUUUGAGUCGAGAUAUGCAUUUCGGUCAACAAUCCUGGUCACCUUGUGUCUGCUUUCCUAACAGAUCUUGUUGAUCUUGAUUUGAUCAGCAUUUCUGGAUAAUGAGUACACAAUUAUCUCCGGUGUUUAAUACUUCAACAUUGGGUCAUGUACUCAUGCAUGUACCACAUAAUUUUCUGGGCUCCUAAUCGUGCGCCUCGUUCUGUCAUCUGCAAAUAAUUAAAGUAAGUUAUUUUAU